GACGUAGGGCGCAAGCGUUGUCCGGAUUUAUUGGGCGUAAAGAGCUCGUAGGCGGCCUGUCGCGUCGACCGUGAAAACCCGCAGCUCAACUGCGGGCUUGCGGUCGAUACGGGCAGGCUGGAGUUCGGUAGGGGAGACCGGAAUUCCUGGUGUAGCGGUGAAAUGCGCAGAUAUCAGGAGGAACACCGGUGGCGAAGGCGGGUCUCUGGGCCGAUACUGACGCUGAGGAGCGAAAGCGUGGGGAGCGAACAGG
rnacentral:rRNA from 1 species